rnacentral:tRNA from 1 species
UUACGAAGCGGUGUUUGGGCACGAAGAAUUUUGAUUUCUUAAGAGAGGGUCGUUCCCUCCUGGUAAA